GAUGAACGCUGGCGGCGUGCUUAACACAUGCAAGUCGAACGGAAAGGCCAGUGCUUGCACUGGUGCUCGAGUGGCGAACGGGUGAGUAACACGUGGGUGAUCUGCCCUGCACUUUGGGAUAAGCCUGGGAAACUGGGUCUAAUACCAGAUAGGACCAUGCUUUGGAUGGUGUGGUGGAAAGUUUUUUCGGUGUGGGAUGAGCUUGCGACCUAUCAGCUUGUUGGUGGGGUAAUGGCCUACCAAGGCGUCGACGGGUAGCCGGCCUGAGAGGGUGUACGGCCACAUUGGGACUGAGAUACGGCCCAGACUCCUACGGGAGGCAGCAGUGGGGAAUAUUGCACAAUGGGCGCAAGCCUGAUGCAGCGACGCCGCGUGGGGGAUGACGGCCUUCGGGUUGUAAACUCCUUUCGCAACUGACGAAGCUUUUUGUGACGGUAGGUUGAGAAGAAGCACCGGCUAACUACGUG
rnacentral:rRNA from 1 species